rnacentral:rRNA from 1 species
UUAGAGGCAAACGGGUGGACCCGCAAUGUGUCGACUCGGGGGAUUCAACCGGGCCGUUACGCACGGGACGCGCUGGGGUUAUGCGGAGCCGUAAAGCCCGUGCCUUGGCGUGGGUCUCCGGGCGGCCUGGUGCACUUUCCUCGGGUCGAUGGCCACGGCCGGCUCUCCGUGCGGCCAGAAGCCUGUCGCUGGUAAGGUGACCGCGGUCCCGUGCCGCGGUGUUAUAGACCAGCUUGUUCGUUGAGCUCGUCGGAGGGCCGAGGAAGGUUGCCGCGUCCCGUCACCCUCUGGCCAUCCUUGCUCGUCACGACUGGGGUGGACUGUCCCGUCAGUGCUCUCCCGACCGCGAGCGUAGGAAGGGCCGGUACGGUGUGGGACUUUGCUUCGGGCCAGUGGCGAAUCGGUCGGUCCCCCACCCGACCCGUCUUGAA